CCAGACUCCUACGGGAGGCAGCAGUGGGGGAUAUUGCACAAUGGGGGGAACCCUGAUGCAGCGACGCCGCGUGGGUGAAGGAGUGCUUCGGCAUGUAAAGCCCUAUCGGCAGGGAAGAAGCAAGACGGUACCUGACUAAGAAGCCCCGGCUAACUACGUGCCAGCAGCCGCGGUAAUACGUAGGGGGCGAGCGUUAUCCGGAUUUACUGGGUGUAAAGGGAGCGUAGACGGCAGUGCAAGUCCGGAGUGAAAGCCCGGGGCUCAACCCUGGGACUGCUCUGGAAACUGUAAAGCUGGAGUGCGGGAGGGGCAGGCGGAAUUCCUGGUGUAGCGGUGAAAUGCGUAGAUAUCAGGAGGAACACCGGCGGCGAAGGCGGCCUGCUGGACCGUAACUGACGUUGAGGCUCGAAAGCGUGGGGAGCAAACAGGAUUAGAUACCCCUGUACG
rnacentral:rRNA from 1 species